rnacentral:rRNA from 1 species
ACGCUGGCGGCAGGCUUAACACAUGCAAGUCGAACGAAGUUAGGAAGCUUGCUUCUGAUACUUAGUGGCGGACGGGUGAGUAAUGCUUAGGAAUCUGCCUAGUAGUGGGGGAUAACUUGGGGAAACCCAAGCUAAUACCGCAUACGACCUACGGGUGAAAGGGGGCUUUUAGCUCUCGCUAUUAGAUGAGCCUAAGUCAGAUUAGCUGGUUGGUGGGGUAAAGGCCUACCAAGGCGACGAUCUGUAGCUGGUCUGAGAGGAUGAUCAGCCACACUGGGACUGAGACACGGCCCAGACUCCUACGGGAGGCAGCAGUGGGAAUAUUGGACAAUGGGCGAAAGCCUGAUCCAGCCAUGCCGCGUGUGUGAAGAAGGCCUUUUGGUUGUAAAGCACUUUAAGUGGGGAGGAAAAGCUUAUGGUUAAUACCCAUAAGCCCUGACGUUACCCACAGAAUAAGCACCGGCUAACUCUGUGCCAGCAGCCGCGGUAAUACAGAGGGUGCAAGCGUUAAUCGGAAUUACUGGGCGUAAAGCGCGCGUAGGUGGUUAUUUAAGUCAGAUGUGAAAGCCCCGGGCUUAACCUGGGAACUGCAUCUGAUACUGGAUAACUAGAGUAGGUGAGAGGGGAGUAGAAUUCCAGGUGUAGCGGUGAAAUGCGUAGAGAUCUGGAGGAAUACCGAUGGCGAAGGCAGCUCCCUGGCAUCAUACUGACACUGAGGUGCGAAAGCGUGGGUAGCAAACAGGAUUAGAUACCCUGGUAGUCCACGCCGUAAACGAUGUCUACCAGUCGUUGGGUCUUUUAAAGACUUAGUGACGCAGUUAACGCAAUAAGUAGACCGCCUGGGGAGUACGGCCGCAAGGUUAAAACUCAAAUGAAUUGACGGGGGCCCGCACAAGCGGUGGAGCAUGUG